rnacentral:rRNA from 1 species
ANAGUUUGAUACUGGCUCAGAACGAACGCUGGCGGCGCGUUUUAAGCAUGCAAGUCGAACGGUAGUAGAGUGCUUGCACUCUAUGAGAGUGGCGAACGGGUGAGUAACACGUAGGUGAUCUAUCUUGAGGUCUGGGAUAGCUUGUGGAAACACAGGGUAAUACCGGAUGAGACCUGUAGGUUGCGGUCUACAGGGGAAAGGCGCUUAGGCGGUGCCUUGAGCUGAGCCUGCGGCUCAUUAGUUAGUUGGUGGGGUAACGGCCUACCAAGGCGACGAUGAGUAGCCGGCCUGAGAGGGUGAUCGGCCACACUGGGACUGAGACACGGCCCAGACUCCUACGGGAGGCGGCAGCUAAGAAUCUUCCGCAAUGGGGGGAACCCUGACGGAGCGACGCCGCGUGGACGAAGAAGGCCGGAAGGUUGUAAAGUCCUUUUCCUGGGGGAGAAUAAGGUAUGGAGGGAAUGCCAUACAGAUGACGUGAACCAGGGAAUAAGCCCCGGCUAAUUACGUGCCAGCAGCCGCGGUAACACGUAAGGGGCGAGCGUUGUUCGGAUUUAUUGGGCGUAAAGGGCGUGUAGGCGGUGAGGUAAGUCUGGUGUGAAAGGUCCCGGCUCAACCGGGGAAGCGCGCUGGAAACUGUCUUACUUGAGUGAUGGAGGGGGAGCUGGAAUUCCUGGUGUAGGGGUGAAAUCUGUAGAGAUCAGGAAGAACACCGGAGGCGAAGGCGAGCUCCUGGCCAUUUACUGACGCUGAGGCGCGAAAGCGUGGGGAGCGAAC